CUGAAUUUUCCCUUCUCCACUCCAUCCAUCUCCUUACUCUUCUAUCAGGUAAUUACAUAUAAUUUCAUUUCAAGUGAGCUGGACAAUAGAGUGAGAAACCUAAAAAGGUGCGAGAAUGAAGCUGUUAGCCCUUGCUGUAGCAGUGUUUAUGAUAGCAACUUGCUUGGCUGAAAACAAGAAAAUCCUGGCUGUUGCAAGGGAGGAACGCUACCUGUGGAGCGAUCGGCGCUUGGUCGACGUUCAAAAUGAAGCUGACAGGCAUCCGGACGAGAGCAUUGCACAUCAUGAAAUUCCUAGAGAAAAAUUUGAAAAGCAAUACGGUACUGGUGGGAUGAUUAAACAAGGGGAGUAAUAUACCACAUAUUUUAGAUGUGAUUUCUCAAAUAGUAAAUUAAUGUUAUAAUUGUUUUUGUGAUAUAGGGAGUGGUUUUUUUCUUUUCCUCCUUUUUUUAUUUUUAUUUUUUAUCAGUAGCUAUGGCUGGAUGAUGUAUGUUGAUCCUAGCUCAUAGCGUUUAGAGCAGGUUGUAUAAUUCUAAAAUGAAUGUGAUAUAAAUAAAUCUUGUAUUAUUAUAUGUAA